UACAGAGGGUGCGAGCGUUAAUCGGAGUUACUGGGCGUAAAGGGCGCGUAGGCGGUUAUUUAAGUUAGAUGUGAAAUCCCUGGGCUUAACCUAGGAACUGCAUCUAAUACUGGGUGACUGGAGUAUUGUAGAGGGUAGUGGAAUUUCCGGUGUAGCGGUGAAAUGCGUAGAGAUCGGAAGGAACACCAGUGGCGAAGGCGGCUACCUGGACAAAUACUGACGCUGAGGCGCGAAAGCGUGGGGAGCAAACGGG
rnacentral:rRNA from 1 species